GCAGGAAAGCAUUACAGAAAGCAUAGUGCUUGACAACAGUAAAAAAGACCAUCUAGACAGGCGUAGCCCCAGUAGCUACUAAUUUAGCUAAUACUAGCGAUCUCUUUUCUGAGUGUAGGAGUAUACGCCUUAGAGAGGUCACACUGACUGGAAAUAAGUCUAGCAUGCUGUCUAAGUGAGGUUUAUGCAAAGAAAGGGUCGGAUUUGAGUGACAGCCGAGAAUGAGGCGCAUGCUUUUCAUUGGAUCUAACUCACGCAUUUCACAGAGAUACGUGUAUGCAGAGGAUUUCAUUUGAUUCGGUGGACUACGUCGUUGACCAGCGUUUUAAAAAAAAAAUAAUAUUAAUAAAAUGGCUAACGAGGG